AUCUAUUUUUCCCUCGCUUCAAUUCUGCCAUAAGAAAGAACUUACCAUGAGUUUCAAAACUAGAAUCUUCCAACUUAUUGCUGUUUCACAGAUAAAACUUAGUCCACCAUAACGUAUGGUAGUGAACUGAGAUUUGUGCCUGACUGUACAAUACAUGUCUCUGUCUGCAUGGAUAGGAGUGGUCAAUUGAAUCCACACCAAGGUUAGGUGGUAGUCACAACAUUGCAGAAAGCCACAUGCAAUGGUCUAGUGAAAAUGGACGACCAAACUGGCCAUGAUCAUGGCGCUCCAAGAAUUGGGCAUGGGUUGUUUUCAUCUCAAUUUGGUUCUUCUGGCUCUGGGACUGGAACUGGAAUUGGCGGCAAUAUCUGGCCUUCCAGACAAGGGCUCCACUCCUUGGCAAAGGAGGGAAGAAAAAAAAGACAAGGAGCUCAAUCUUUUUUUUAAAAAAAAGGAGAGAGAGUAAAGCGGGAAACAAGCCAACAUGCAUUUCAAAAAAGAAGGCACAAUUUUUUUCCCAAAAUAACCGACAAGGGCUUCAACUCAUGUCAUUUGUGCUCUUCCUGAUGCUCCUGGCAGUUCUCCUGCCAAACUGUUUGCUCAAACUUGUGGCUUCUCUGCACCUAAACAGCGGGGCUGGAUGGAGGCUUUUAGACAGGGGUUGUAACUUGAUACAGGGUUGUCAACUGAUCCAGGAAUGGUUCCAGUAAGCAAACAUUCUGGAAUGGUCUGUCAACAUGACACCGGUCUUACCAUGCAACACUCAAAUUUCACAUGGACAACUGCUCGGACUGAAGAAAUUUCAGUUAUGCAAAUGCCUAACCCCCUACUAGACUUCACUAUAUGCACGAGCUUUACCAUGGUCGGGCAGUCAGGCUCGGAGCCAGAGUACAACCAAUUAAUCCAAGACAAUGGCAGGACUUGAUCUGUGACGGUGUUUGAAAUGUCAUUAGGUUCGGGUCCUGUUUGGAACACUUGAACUUCACACAAGGUUUCUACCGGAAUUAUAUGGUUUCACGUGAAACCGUUCAUUUUG